rnacentral:piRNA from 1 species
UGGCAAGACAUAGGACUUCUCCUCUUAUU